rnacentral:rRNA from 1 species
GACGAACGCUGGCGGCGUGCCUAAUACAUGCAAGUCGAGCGCUGAAGGUUGGUACUUGUACCGACUGGAUGAGCAGCGGACGGGUGAGUAACGCGUGGGGAAUCUGCCUUUGAGCGGGGGAUAACAUUUGGAAACGAAUGCUAAUACCGCAUAAAAACUUUAAACACAAGUUUCAAGAUUGAAAGAUGCAAUUGCAUCACUCAAAGAUGAUCCCGCGUUGUCUUUGCUAGUUGGUGAGGUAAAGGCUCACCAAGGCGAUGGUACAUAGCCGACCUGAGAGGGGGGUCCGCCACCAUUGGACCUGGGCACCGCCCCAGCCCCUACGGGGAGGCACCGUAGGGGAUCUUCGGCAAUUGACGGAAGUCUGACCGGGGAACGGCGGGUUGGUGGAGAAAGUUCUCCGGUCGGAAAACUCUGUUUAUAAGGGAGAACGUUAUUGAGAAUUAAAAGCGCAUCAAGUGACGGUACCUACCCAGAAAGGGACGGCUAACUACGUG